AUUUUUUUUUUUUUUUUUUUUAAACCUUUUUUUCCUUUUCCAUACAAGCUAAUUAUUUCAUGUUGCACUUCAAAGCAAGUUAGCUCCUUCCUCUUUUGAAUAACAUUGCAUCAUCUGAUAUCACCAAUGACCACAAGCAACCACUACAGCAUGUUUGAUUAACAAAAGGACAGGGUCUUAUGAACAACUAAGUAGGAAUUCCCAAACAAAAUUUAAUAUGGGAAAGAUAUUUUAAAGCAACCAAUAUCUCUGUUUAAUGAACAAUUAUUAGUCACAAAAAAUGAUGUGAUUCAUAAUACCU
rnacentral:misc_RNA from 1 species